CUGAAGACACUUUCUUUAAAAUUGAAUAUUUCAAGCAAUAAACACUUGUCGUCUAUAGAAUUCCCCACAAGAUUUAUCGAAUGCACCCAUUUUGAUCACUCCUAUCUCCUUCUCAAUGGGUUUUGCUCUGCACUGUCUAUGCCUGCGUGCACCUAAUGGGUUUAUUAACCAAAUUAGCAUGUGCCCAAUGUUCCCUUCUGUUCUGUGAGUUACUGACAUUUUGACAACAAGCAUGAAGAAGUGAGACAGAUGGGGCAGACUUGCAUUGAACUCCUUGCAUUUUAUUUUUCAGGCUAUCUCAUUCAUUAAGCAACUCCACUUUGUGAAAUAAACGAUGGUACAUACAAAGCCAUUACCAAAUGUAUUUAUUGCUAAAAACGAGAUUUUUCAAGAAAGGCAAACUGGCUAAAAAGUCCUGAAAGUGUUUGAAGUAGAAGACGCCCACCGAGACUACAAAGUAACUUUUAGUAGAAAUCCUAUCUUUAACCAGCAUGUUCUUAAAUAAAUUGCUUUUUUAAAAACCCUUUCAAUGAUACUGCCAUAAAAAUUAAGACAUUCAAACAGAUGCCGAAAGGCUUAAAAAUGGGCUGAAUUUUAUUUGAACAGGUCACUAAGCUUAAAGGUUCCAGUUUGAGGCCAGUUGGCCUAGAACCGAUUUGGGAUGCAGGCACUUACCUCCCUGCACAUGCAAUCUGUGGGCACAGAGACAGCCAUGGCCCUCGGGGGAAAAGAAUCCCCCUCCUGAAUGUGACCUCCAAGAGUAAGGGCAAACUGUCAGCUUUUAACUCUUUAUUAUAAAGACAUAUUUACACAGAACAAUCUUUACAAACACAGUGAACACAAUUAUGGGGGAGGGACAACUUCUUAAUGAAAAGGGCCUUAAUAUCUUUGUAUAAAUUAGUAGAAGAAUCAUACACAACCACUUUAAAUAAGACAACACCCUUGACCCACCCACUACCCUCCUCUGCCAUGUCCCCAUCUUUCCCAGCCAUCAUCCCUCUUCUGUCCUUUUCCCCAUGGGGCUGGCCAUGGCUACAGGUCAUGGCAGGCUGCUGAGGCAUGGGAUGCAGAAAGGAGGAGGAGAAGGAAGGUGGUCAGGUCCCUGGUGGGGCUACCAGUGGCAGAGAAGACUUUCUUUCUCUGGACACUGACCAGCCCCACUCCAUGCCCAGUUGGGUUGGAGGCUAUGCCCAGCGCAGCUUCCCAGGGUGGGCCUUGAGGUGGCAGCAGUAGCAGCAGUAGCAGCAGCAGGAGCAGUGGCAGAGGGGAAGGAAAAGACUGAGUGGGAGGCGUAGGCAAACACUGGGGUUACUGUGGGACUUGGGGGCCCUGACUCCCCCUGCCCUCAUGCAUACAUAGGGGGGCAUCAGGCUUCUGUUUUCCCUUUUUUUUUCUCCUGGGAGGCCAGUGAGAAGGAAGGCUGCUCAGGUAAAAGCCAAGAGGGUCCACCUUCAGAGGAAGCCAUGGAAGGGCCCUCAUGAAAGACAGGGCCUCCUGGCAAGGGGUGCUACCCCACCUGCACAUCCUCCUAUCUCUCUUUAUUCCUUCUCCCCUUCCUUUCCUCCCUUCUUCUCCACGCUCUGCCCUCUGACCCCACCAGGAAAGGCCACUAGGAAGGACGGUCCAAUCCACACAAAGCAGAGGCUAUUGAGUUGACUAUUUAAGGCUGCCUCUGGCUCCAGACAGGCAGUGUUGGGGUCUGAAUAGUAGUCUCAGGCCCUGAGCUGCCCUGUUAAAGUACCCCAGGGCCAGGAGUACUGCUGGCCGUUUAUGGAACCUUCCAUCCUAUGGAGAGCAGGGAGGUGGGAGCAACUCUGUCUCCCCACAAUGGUGCAGUUCACAGCCAACUUGCUUCUCCCUGCCCUCCCAGCCACUCUACCAUAACCCCAGCAAAAGGCACUUCAUGUGUUUUGAGAAGACAUCAUCAAGAGGGCCAAGGGUAUCAUAAAGUGGGGCUUUGGAGACCAGGUCCCCAUUCUAGCUCUGCAGUGACCCUGAGUAAAUCACUCCCCUCUCCAGGCCUCUGCUGUCACCGACUUUUGCAUAAGGAGGCUGAGCUAAGUGAUCUCCAAGGGUCCUUUCAGCUCUGAUAUUCUAUGAGUCUUGGCAAAAACAACCCUCCUGCCCAGCAUCCUCCCCUCUUGACUCAGAACUUGAACUACCGUAGCUGCUGAGGUGGGGCAGGGGUUAGGAGACUCAGUGUGACAAAGUACUUCCUGAGCUCCUCUCACUCACCUCUUCCUUCACUGGACCAGACACGGGCAUGAAGAGGAGGCCACAGUGCUAUCCUUCCUCCUCCAGUGCUUCAACCCCCUUCACCAGGGCACAAUGUGCACUACUCUGAUGCCCCCCGAUGCACCCUCUUUGGAUCCCCACACCCUCCCUUCUAAUUAGAAUCUCUCCUUGUGCACCUCUGGAUUCCUCUCUGGAGGCCAAGUGAGGGAUUCACUGACAAGAAAGCAAGGAUCUGCAGGAGCCCAUUGAGGAAUGGAGUGCUUUCCACCCAGAUCCCAGGGCAGAUACAGGAGAGAGGUCAAGUGGAGGGUGGAGGCAUCAGCUAGGGUAGGUGGAGGCAGGGCGUAUGGCGGCCCAGGAGAGGCUGGGUGUCCAAAGUCAGUCCAGGGAGAGGCCAGGAAGAUGGGCUCCAUGGAUCCUUAUGAGAGAAAUGGAAUCAUCCGAAUUCGGGGCGGGACCACGCCGUCAGACGAAGCUGGUGGGUGAGAAGAGCCAGGACCAUCAGGAGCUAGAACAGGCGUGAGACAAGAGCUGACUGGAUGUGAGGGUUCCAGAGAAGCAGACGGAUCUGUGGAGUGCUGGGAACCACAGUGCACUGGCACCUGGUUGCGGGGGGGGGUCAG
ensembl:lncRNA